rnacentral:hammerhead_ribozyme from 1 species
AUCCAGCUGUUGAGUCCCAAGUAGGACAAAACGCACGUCCUGGGU